CCCGUAUAUUCUGCUGCAUACUGGCCCGCUCUUCGCGCACACUCUCUCUUUCUUCCUCUGCGUCGAACCAAGCGGCAGAGAACCGCGUUUCGUCUUCGUCGUUUGGCGAACACAUCGUACGCCACCCCUUGUGUAUCGCAUGGCAUUAUAACUAUCGGCUCUAUCGCGACGCCUGUGUCGAUACUCGUGAAUUAAGCACCUUGAUCCAUUAAGGAUCGGCGUACUCGUGUGUUCGGAGUUAACGGGUCUGUUUGGCAUUGUUUUAACGCCGCGGUGACCGUGUGCAGCGCCGUUAAUACGACGGCUGAUAACGCGUUAACGGCAUUACGUCAUCGUUUACCGAAUACAAGCAAACGGUUCGCAUAUCAAUCAGACGUAAACCGAAUGAUUGUUUCCACCGUUCGAUCACCAACACGUCGAUCCCACGAUUUGCCCAGCAACAUGAUCUUAACCGAGAUUUCGGGUCUGUAUCUUCGAUUUUUUCAUCAAGUAAACUUCGAUACUUGAUCGAUUUUACGACCUGGCUGUAUCGCGGAUGCUACUGUACGAGCGGAGCACGAUGCUCGAAAGUUCGACGCUGCGCUUGUGUUCUUUGCUCGCGGAGAAAUGUACGGGCACGCGUACAUUUUCAUCUGUCUAUAGGUGGAACCGCGGGCCGAAAGAGAACGAGAGAGAAAGCGUCCGGAAGAGCACGGGAGAGAGUCGUAUAUACGUAUAUAUACAUCUGUAUAUACAUGCAGGUUGCGAAACAACUAUCGAAUCGAGAACGAUUCGUUACCACCCCCAGAGCCGAAGACGACAAAGAGAUUCUUUUUUUGGUCGAACCUCGAAGAGAAGCAAGGAUGUCAGAAUGAGAAAGUAACGACGCGCGGAGCGAAGACGCGGUUGGCAAUAGAAGGGUGGUAUGUGCAAGAAGGGCAAGUAUUGGUAGACACAGAUGUGAGGGGUGGUUGCAGGUUGAUAGUCAAGACUGCCUUCAGAUUCCAGAGUGAAGCAUUGUGUCCCGAACGCGCAUUGUCCUCCCGUCACCGGCAACUCGACAAUGCCGAGUCCGUAAGUUAGUAACCCUACCGUAAAAACUUAUCUCCACCCCAAACCAUCGACCUCCAGCCUCCAUGAUUCCGUUCGAUUUCCAACCACCUCCCGCCAACUCUUCCGCUUUUCUGUCCUGGCUCGUGACUUCUGCUGCUUUUACUCUUCCUCCUCCCUUCGAUUGCAAGAAUCAACGAUCUGUGUCUACGAUGUUCUUGUGUUCUCCCAGCAACAAGACAAAGGUCUUCGCCAGAGCUUCGAAUUCCGCUUCUCGAAUAAAUAGAGUCGUAAAACACACUGACGGCUAAUGCCAAGAGAUUAAUAACUAAAAUCCUUGUUCGAACCGAAAAACGACUAAUAGUAGAACAGGUUCUUCAUUUUCUUAGUUGAUGAAAUUUCGUUGUAUGUUUUUUCAAGUAUAACGUAGCAGUUUUACAACUACGUCGAUUAAUGGUAGGGAGCCGUAGAAGUCGAUCGUCAGCAAGCAGAGAAACACUCUGGGAUCGGAAGCGAACGUCCUGGGGACCGGAUACAAACAUUAGGGGUUGGCGGGUGGUCCUCUCGUUGGGACUCAAGUUGCCGAGCAGCCGGACAACGCGUGGUCGCCGGACAAAGCUCUUCUAAUUGUCCCCAUCAACGACGAAGAAUGGACCGCGGGCCUGCCGCUGACAAUUUCAUUUGUAAUUUGCAUAAGGCUUAUUAAAAUCACAAUGGACGUGGACCCAGAGGGAUGCUCGAUCGAGGUGGCCGCAGCCUUCUUUUUUGAACUGCUCGAUAGAGAAUAAUCACGGUCACCGCUGUGCUGGUAAUUGAACUUCAAUAAGGAGCGGAACUCGUUUCGACCAUUCGCGUCAACUACUCCUAAUAAAAAAGAUAAUCUACGAGAAAUUUAAAUCGUUGUGGACUUACGUUUGAAACGGCUGACUCGUUCGCUUCUCUUAUCCAUGAUUAUAUCCAAGAACACUGAACACACUGUUACACUGUAUUUCGUUGUCUAACGGAUCGUAAUAAAAAAGGUAAUAAGAAAAGGAUAGAUGUGUAAAAAAAUGUCGAACGAAAUUUUUCUAAUAAAACCGAGGACGAAUAAAAAGUAAAAAGGUGCAAGGUAUGAAUGAAUCGUGAAAGAGAUAACAUAAUAAGAAAUGAUAAUGGGUGAUAGAUGUAAAAAUGAAAUUAAUUUGAAGGUACUUAUGGUAGGAUUUGUCACACCGAUGAUUCCACGUUUGUCGAAAUGUGUCGCGCACGUGAGACGGCGCGGAACUGAACCAUCUCAAAACGCUAUCAUAUCGCGCGCCGCCACAUUCCCCCACCACUUUCGACCAAAAUGCGUCUACGCAUCUCUUAUUUAUGCUGCUAUAAAAAAUCGUUCCGAUUAGAAUGUU